rnacentral:rRNA from 1 species
GACGAACGCUGGCGGCGUGCCUAAUACAUGCAAGUAGAACGCUGAAGAGAGGAGCUUGCUCUUCUUGGAUGAGUUGCGAACGGGUGAGUAACGCGUAGGUAACCUGCCUUGUAGCGGGGGAUAACUAUUGGAAACGAUAGCUAAUACCGCAUAACAAUGGAUGACCCAUGUCAUUUAUUUGAAAGGGGCAAAUGCUCCACUACAAGAUGGACCUGCGUUGUAUUAGCUAGUAGGUGAGGUAACGGCUCACCUAGGCGACGAUACAUAGCCGACCUGAGAGGGUGAUCGGCCACACUGGGACUGAGACACGGCCCAGACUCCUACGGGAGGCAGCAGUAGGGAAUCUUCGGCAAUGGGGGCAACCCUGACCGAGCAACGCCGCGUGAGUGAAGAAGGUUUUCGGAUCGUAAAGCUCUGUUGUAAGUCAAGAACGAGUGUGAGAGUGGAAAGUUCACACUGUGACGGUAGCUUACCAGAAAGGGACGGCUAACUACGUGCCAGCAGCCGCGGUAAUACGUAGGUCCCGAGCGUUGUCCGGAUUUAUUGGGCGUAAAGCGAGCGCAGGCGGUUUGAUAAGUCUGAAGUUAAAGGCUGUGGCUCAACCAUAGUUCGCUUUGGAAACUGUCAAACUUGAGUGCAGAAUGGGAGAGUGGAAUUCCAUGUGUAGCGGUGAAAUGCGUAGAUAUAUGGAGGAACACCGGUGGCGAAAGCGGCUCUCUGGUCUGUAACUGACGCUGAGGCUCGAAAGCGUGGGGAGCGAACAGGAUUAGAUACCCUGGUAGUCCACGCCGUAAACGAUGAGUGCUAGGUGUUGGAUCCUUUCCGGGAUUCAGUGCCGCAGCUAACGCAUUAAGCACUCCGCCUGGGGAGUACGACCGCAAGGUUGAAACUCAAAGGAAUUGACGGGGGCCCGCACAAGCGGUGGAGCAUGUGGUUUAAUUCGAAGCAACGCGAAGAACCUUACCAGGUCUUGACAUCCCGAUGCUAUUUCUAGAGAUAGAAAGUUACUUCGGUACAUCGGUGACAGGUGGUGCAUGGUUGUCGUCAGCUCGUGUCGUGAGAUGUUGGGUUAAGUCCCGCAACGAGCGCAACCCCUAUUGUUAGUUGCCAUCAUUCAGUUGGGCACUCUAGCGAGACUGCCGGUAAUAAACCGGAGGAAGGUGGGGAUGACGUCAAAUCAUCAUGCCCCUUAUGACCUGGGCUACACACGUGCUACAAUGGUUGGUACAACGAGUUGCGAGUCGGUGACGGCAAGCUAAUCUCUUAAAGCCAAUCUCAGUUCGGAUUGUAGGCUGCAACUCGCCUACAUGAAGUCGGAAUCGCUAGUAAUCGCGGAUCAGCACGCCGCGGUGAAUACGUUCCCGGGCCU